rnacentral:rRNA from 1 species
GACGGGGAAUUGGACUGUUACUUUAGAAAAAUUAGAGUGUUUAAAGCAAGCUAACGCUUGAAUACAUUAGCAUGGAAUAAUGAAAUAGGACGUUCGAUCUUAUUUUGUUGGUUUCUAGGAUUGACGUAAUGAUUAAUAGGGAUAGUUGGGGGCAUUAGUAUUCAAUUGUCAGAGGUGAAAUUCUUGGAUUUAUUGAAGACUAACUACUGCGAAAGCAUUUGCCAAGGUAUGUUUUCAUUUAAUCAAAGAACGAAAGUUAGGGGAUCGAAGACGAUCAGAUACCGUCGUAGUCUUAACCAUAAACUAUGCCGACUAGGGAUCGGACGAUGUUAAUUUUUUAANGACUCG